rnacentral:rRNA from 1 species
UACGGAGGGUGCAAGCGUUAAUCGGAAUUACUGGGCGUAAAGCGCGCGUAGGCGGUUAGGUAAGUCAGAUGUGAAAGCCCAGGGCUCAACCUUGGAACUGCAUCCGAUACUGCCCUACUUGAGGACUGGAGGGGAGUCUGGAAUUCAUGGUGUAGCAGUGAAAUGCGUAGAUAUCAUGAGGAACACUAGUGGCGAAGGCGAGACUCUGGACAGUUCCUGACGCUGAGGCACGAAGGCUAGGGUAGCGAAGCGGAUUAGAUACCCCUGUA